UGGAUAUCGUGAGUAGCCAUAUCCCACACCCACUGUUGGCUGUUGUUAAAAGAAGAACAAAAGUUAAGUACACCAAGUCAAGACCAGAAGAUUCACUGAGAGGCAGAGUAGAAUAGGAUGUCGUUAUCCAUGAUGAUGCCCUUGCCUCCUUCACCAAUGACAAUCCCGUCUGCCUGACCAUCACGUAUCCAGUUAUUAGAUACCACAGGAUUCCCACCAUUCCUGAUGUCUACUCCACCCCAUUCCAUUCCACAGAUAUCGUUAUGGGUAAUGUGGCCGCGCCCUUCUUCGGUGAUGGCGAUUCCCGCGGCUUGUCCUGACCAGAUACGAUUGUGCCUUAAAAAUAGAMGCAACAAGAAGUCAGAACGGAGAGAGGCGAGGUAGGAAAAAGGCCGUCUGCGCGUAUGAUGAUCAGGAACUUUUAAAUGGGAAAAGGAUUUUAGAAGAGAACAAAAAGACGCCUUCCCUUCCUACGCCACUGGAAUAAAUYUAUUCGGGGUUAGAAGCACAAUGCAAUAAAAAUCAGACUAGUACCCA